rnacentral:rRNA from 1 species
UACGUAGGGGGCAAGCGUUGUCCGGAUUCAUUGGGCGUAAAGGGUGCGUAGGUGGCGUCGUAAGUCAGGUGUGAAAUCUCGGGGCUCAACCCCGAAACUGCACUUGAUACUGCGAUGCUCGAGUACUGGAGAGGAGAUUGGAAUUUACGGUGUAGCAGUGAAAUGCGUAGAUAUCGUAAGGAAGACCAGUGGCGAAGGCGAAUCUCUGGACAGUUACUGACACUGAGGCACGAAGGCCAGGGGAGCAAACGGG